GAUGAACGCUGGCGGCGUGCCUAAUACAUGCAAGUCGAACGCAUUGUGGUUGAAAUGAUAUGAAGAACUUGUUCAGAUUUGAUUUUCAACAUUGCAAUGAGUGGCGAACGGGUGAGUAACACGUGGGAAACCUACCUCUUAGCAGGGGAUAACAUUUGGAAACAAAUGCUAAUACCGUAUAAUAAUUAAAACCGCAUGGUUUUAGUUUAAAAGAUGGUCUUGCUAUCACUAAGAGAUGGUCCCGCGGUGUAUUAGUUAGUUGGUGAGGUAAUGGCUCACCAAGACAAUGAUACAUAGCCGAGUUGAGAGACUGACCGGCCACAAUGGGACUGAGACACGGCCCAUACUCCUACGGGAGGCAGCAGUAGGGAAUCUUCCACAAUGGACGAAAGUCUGAUGGAGCAACGCCGCGUGUGUGAUGAAGGGUUUCGGCUCGUAAAACACUGUUGUAAGAGAAGAAUGACAUUGAGAGUAACUGUUCAAUGUGUGACGGUAUCUUACC
rnacentral:rRNA from 1 species